rnacentral:lncRNA from 1 species
UAUUUCAUUAAAAAUACCCCUCUAGAAAAUUCUUUGGAGACGCCUAUUUAAUCGCCUAGGUGCCUAUUUUCGCAGCGAAGCAAGAGGAAAGCACCGCGCAUGUUUCUAUCGGAUCGAUACGAAUCGAUUUCCGAUAACAUUGAAGAGCAGUUGGUCAGGAAACGGCUCGAAGGGCGGAUGGCGCGCCGCUAGUAAGGUUAUUCCCACUUUUAAGUGACGGGAUUGAAACAAAUUUUCGAUGGAAAUCAAAUAAUUAGAAGGAAAUCAAGCGUCAGCUAAUCCCAUCUACAAAACUAGAUAACCAAAGUUAAACAUCUCUUUGGACUUCUUCACAUAACAGAAGUGGAUAUUCCGGCGUGCCUGCCUUGUUUCAAUCCCGUAACUUAGUUAUUUAGUCACACAACGUGACUCUAUCACGUUGAUUAUGUACUACCUAGUUAGAUUGCUAGCCACUCUGUGAUGGUUUAUCCCUAGAGUGGGCUGUUUUUGUUGGAUAAUACACCAUACCGGAUUUUAUUACAACCAGCAUCUUCACCCAGGACCUUGCAGUAGGACUUACUCACCACAGCAGCCAACCAGCGUUAGCGUGCCAAAAGAAUUCAUCUCUAUGGACUUGCAACCCUACUUUUAACCGGCUGUUGUGUAAAAGCUAAGUUUAUUUACUUUUUCUGUAUUUACUUUUGGGUAAGAUAUAUUUGCUACAUUGUAAACUUAUCGUAUGCAUACGAUUAGGAAGAGUACAUAUAUUUUCGUGAUAGAUAGGGUUUUAGGUUGUUGUUUUUUUUUUCUUUUUGAUUCAGUAUAAGUAGGAGUUAGUUAAAAUAAAUAAAAUCAGGUCUUGUUUAAUAAUCAUAAAUAAUUGUAUCUUAAAAUUUAAUAGGGAAUCGGGUUGUAAAAUUUUGUCGCGGAUUUUAAAUAGGGAAUACGUCUCGUAGGUUUUUUUUGUAAAAUAUAUAAAGAGUCACUGACCAACUCAUUUAUAUAGACCUUUUUGCUAUUCCAACGGACUUUUGAUUUGGAUUUUGAUUUUAAUACUUUUGCUUGGCCAGUGAUAGUGGAUAAUUGCUUGUUGAGUGGCCUUUGCGGUCCUAUUUUAUCUUUUCCCCAUCCUCUAUCACUGUUAUUACGUUGCGUUAUAUGUAAAGUGUUAACAUUUAAUAUUUAUUAUUAAUAUAUUUGUAUGUAUUAA